rnacentral:tRNA from 1 species
UGUUGGCGCAGUGGUAGAACACUGGCCUGUUAAGUCAGGGUCCGUUGGUUUGAUCCCUGCCAUAGGAA